rnacentral:sRNA from 12 species
CCAAGGGAACUUGGAGCCACACGCCGCCUUGCAGUGUUGGCUUUUCUGCCAACUGUGAAAUACAGCGGCAACACAUAGUAUGGCGAUUUCCAUUCGCCUGAAUCCGUGAAGCCGCAGUGGAAGUGUAGCAGCAAGGAGGCUACGGUGC